ACUUAAAUUGAAGAGUUUGAUCAUGGCUCAGAUUGAACGCUGGCGGCAGGCCUAACACAUGCAAGUCGAACGGUAACAGGAAGCAGCUUGCUGCUU
rnacentral:rRNA from 2 species